GGCGCCUAUAGUCCAGUGGUAGGAUGCCGCUUUCCCAUGUGCGAUUCAAGCGGUGGCCCGGGUUCGAACCCCGGUGGGCGCAU
rnacentral:tRNA from 1 species